UUUAUUAGUACGUAUUUACAAAAUUAAAUUGGUAAGGCGUAAAUACGUACUAAUAAAUUUUAACCAGCUUAGUUUUUUAAUGUUUUUUUGCUAAAAGUCCAUUUACUAGACUGAUUAACAGUUUGCCGGUUUACCAAAGUAAAUGUGUAACGAUUCAUUUGAAAUACUACAAUCCUAUUGGACAAAAAAUAAUUUCAAACACUAUUUUUUUUAAUUUUGUUAUAAGAUGAAAACUUUGUAUUUUGCAGGUAUCAGUAGAAUCAAUUAUUACAAGGCACGUAAACGUUUAAGCGUCGUACAGUUCACUUGUAUUAUUUGCAGUGACGCUCCUUCAGACCAAGCAACGCCUGAUCAUGACAAUGCCGUUGAUUAUUCAAUUUCGGGAGCCGCUUCUUUUCGUUAUGAUGUCUCGUCGGCGGAAGCAAGACUACAUUGCUGUUGUCAUAUCAAUCAUUUAUUAUUCUUAGUAUGAAUGAAAUUUACUUGAAUUGAAUUUAACUAAAUUGCAGUUCAUCAUAUUUCAGUAUAUCAAUAUAAAUAUUUUAUAAUACAGGUAUUGGAGACUGUUCGUACCAACAACGAUACAGAGGGAUGGCAUAGACGUCUUAAUAGCCAGGCUGGUCGAGGCGUGAUUCCCUUCUAUGUUCUUCUCACGUUACUAUUGCAAGAGGCAAAGCUAGUGAACAUACAUCUACAAUUGGUCACGUAAGCUGGCGUCGUUCGCUAUCGAAGGGAAGUUAACAUAAACAUGGACGCAAAAGAUGGACCUAUUGGACAUGUAUGACACUCAUGAUGUUGUUUGUAAGGAAUUCCUUCUAGAAAUAGGGUCGAUUUACGGAAACUUUUAGACAAGGAAAUGUGUAAUUGGAAAAAGAUUAUAGACGCUGUAGAGCAAUAAGACGUACACAAAUACAGUUUCAAAAAGUGUAUAUAUUGUAAAUAUUGUAGUAAUUGCAUGCAUGUAUAUAAAGAGAAUGAUAGUGUCUGCGUAUUCUAUGUAUUGUUAUUUCAAUGUAAUGUGUGUACAUGUAUAUUUUUUGUGUUACUCUUUUUGUAAAUAAUAUACAUAAAUAAUUAAUAAAAGGCUGAAAAUGUU